UACGUAGGGUGGCAAGCGUUGUCCGGAAUUAUUGGGCGUAAAGCGCGCGCAGGCGGCCUCUUAAGUCUGAUGUGAAAGCCCCCGGGCUCAGCCGGGGAGGGCCAUUGGAAACUGGGAGGCUUGAGUAUAGGAGAGGAAGAGUGGAAUUCCACGUGUAGCGGUGAAAUGCGUAGAGAUGUGGAGGAACACCAGUGGCGAAGGCGACUCUUUGGCCUAUAACUGACGCUGAGGCGCGAAAGCGUGGGGAGCAAACAGG
rnacentral:rRNA from 1 species